rnacentral:rRNA from 1 species
AUACGUAGGGGGCGAGCGUUGUCCGGAAUGAUUGGGCGUAAAGGGCGCGUAGGCGGCCGCUUAAGUCUGGAGUGAAAGUCCUGUUUUCAAGAUGGGAAUUGCUUUGGAUACUGGGGGGCUUGAGUGCAGGAGAGGUUAUCGGAAUUCCCGGUGUAGCGGUGAAAUGCGUAGAGAUCGGGAGGAACACCAGUGGCGAAGGCGGGUAACUGGACUGCGACUGACGCUGAGGCGCGAAAGUGUGGGGAGCAAACAGGAUUAGAUACCCUGGUAGUCCACACUGUAAACGAUCAAUACUAGGUGUGCGGGGACUGACCCCCUGCGUGCCGCAGUUAACACAAUAAGUAUUGCACCUGGGGAGUACGAUCGCAAGGUUGAAACUCAAAUGAAUUGGCGGGG